rnacentral:tRNA from 1 species
GCCCGGGUGGCGGAAUUGGCAGACGCACGGGACUUAAAAUCCCGAGGCCCUUAAAGCCGUGUGGGUUCAAUUCCCACCCCGGGCACCA